rnacentral:lncRNA from 1 species
CCCGCCUCCCUCGCCCCCCCUUCAACCCCUACACCCACCCACACUUCGCUCCGGAGCCUCUUCCACAGAGAGCUCCACGCUUUGAUUCGGGAGCUGAGUGCUCCCCAGGUUAAAAGUGCUGCAGACCUGAAUGUCCCAUAACUAUGCCCCGGGAAGCAGAAGCGGACUGGAGGGCAGUAGGAACGGCCUGGGCCACGCAUGUGGACUGCUUGGAAGUGAUUUAAAGCAAGAAGUAAGGGAGUUGGAAAGCAGGAAGCAAUGGGAAGGAAACAAACAGAAGUUCAAAGGUAUGUUUAAGGUGCUCAAGGGCAGAGAACAUGUCUUAUGCUUUAAAAACAAGUCCUCCAUGGUACCUCACUAUACUAGGUACUCAACAAAUAUUUACUGAUCUGAUCUGAGUGAAAAAACAUUAAAAGAAAGAUAUAGUGGACAAACUUAAGAACCUUCAAAUCACUACCUG